UAGCCUAGUGGUUGUUAAGGCUAUGGAUUGCCAAUCCGGAGACGGCGGGUUCGAUUCCCGU
rnacentral:tRNA from 1 species